GAUGAAGAACGUAGCGAAAUGCGAUAAGUAAUGUGAAUUGCAGAUUUCCAGUGAAUCAUCGAGUCUUUGAACGCACAUUGCGCCCCCUGGUAUUCCGGGGGGCAUGCCUGUCCGAGCGUCAUUGCUGCCCUCAAGCCCGGCUUGUGUGUUGGGUCUCGUCCCCCUUCCCGGGGGGACGGGCCCGAAAGGCAGCGGCGGCACCGCGUCCGGUCCUCGAGCGUAUGGGGCUUUGUCACCCGCUCUGUAGGCCCGGCCGGCGCUUGCCGAUCAACCAAAACUUUUUUCCAGGUUGACCUCGGAUCAGGUAGGGAUACCCGCUGAACUUAAGCAUAUCAAUAAGCGGAGGA
rnacentral:misc_RNA from 1 species